rnacentral:rRNA from 1 species
GAAACCUUUGCAAUGUGCGAAAGCACGACAAGGUUAAUCCGAGUGUCUCCUGCUAAAGGAGUCUUUUGUCAGUUGUAGAAUCACUGGUGAAUAAGGGGUGGGCAAGUUCUGGUGUCAGCCGCCGCGGUAAAACCAGCACCUCGAGUGGUCAGGAGGUUUAUUGGGCCUAAAGCAUCCGUAGCCGGUUGCAUAAGUUUUCGGUUAAAUCUAUGCGCUUAGCGUAUAGGCCGCCGAAAAUACUGUGCAGCUAGGGAGUGGGAGAGGUACACGGUACUCGAUAGGAAGGGGUAAAAUCCUUUGAUCUAUUGAAGACCACCUGUGGCGAAGGCGGUGUACCAGAACACGUUCGACGGUGAGGGAUGAAAGCUGGGGGAGCAAACCGGAUUAGAUACCCGGGUAGUCCCAGCUGUAAACGAUGCAGACUCGGUGAUGCAUUGGCUUGUGGCCAAUGCAGUGCCGCAGGGAAGCCGUUAAGUCUGCCGCCUGGGAAGUACGUACGCAAGUAUGAAACUUAAAGGAAUUGGCGGGGGAGCACCACAAGGGUGAAGCCUGCGGUUCAAUUGGAUCU